rnacentral:rRNA from 1 species
GACGUAGGGCGCGAGCGUUGUCCGGAUUUAUUGGGCGUAAAGAGCUCGUAGGCGGCUUGUCGCGUCGACUGUGAAAUCCCGCGGCUCAACUGCGGGUCUGCAGUCGAUACGGGCAGGCUAGAGUUCGGUAGGGGAGACUGGAAUUCCUGGUGUAGCGGUGAAAUGCGCAGAUAUCAGGGGGGAACACCGAUGGCGAAGGCAGGUCUCUGGGCCAUUACUGACGCUGAGAAGCGAAAGCAUGGGGAGCGAACAGG